CCAGCGCUGGUGCUGUACGUUUGUGAGGGCGGAGCUGAAUUCUCCUCAGCCCAGACAUUGAGAGCAUCGCGAGGGUGGAGCUGUGUUCUCCUCUGCACAGACCUCGGGGGUACCGUGAAGACAGAGCAGCGUUCUACCCUGGCGUGGGGGGCACCGCGAGGGCGGAGCUGCGUUGUGCUCAGCACAGACGUUGGCGGCACCGCCUCGCUUUGGGACAACUCGGGGCCGCAUCCACAGUGAAUAAAAUACUUCCUGUUUCUAGCCCUGAAUAACGAAGAUUUCAGAGGAGAGCCUGGUGUCACUUACAGCAGACAUUGCAGAUGCCUCAGCAUUUCGGAUGAAGACGUAACCAAGGAGCCUUUGAUUAGUAGUGAAAUUGUGGCACCCCAACAAUGGUGGAGUGGAAUAUCCUGCUACUCUGGAGGGGUGAUGGCUCAGGGUCAAGACUGAACUAAUUAGAAAAAGAAAUGCACUCCAGGAAUAUCAAGUCCAAAACGAAGCUCUUCAAACCAUCUGGGAAGAGAAAACAGCAUGACAAGGAAAGGUAUAUUUGUCUGAUCCCAGGAAUCAAUAUAAACAUCCAUGAUAACCCCACCUAUUUUUUAAAUAUAUGAUUUGGAUGAAACAAGAGAAAGAGACUGAUUGUUGCUGAGUCCCUGCUGCAGUCCCGACACAGCUGGAGAUGCCCUGCUCCCCUGCUCCCCUGCUCCCCCGCUCCCCCGCUCUCCUGCUCUCCUGCUCUCUUUAUUUUGUUGAUGCUCAUGAGGACCCUGAUGUCUGAGGAAGAAGGUUCCCGUCCAGCUCUGCCCCUGGUGUGUCACGUGCCGGCCUUGUCAACGCACAGGAGAACCUGACAGGAGCAUCCUUGAAAUGAUUGACUCAACCAUGAGAGAAACACUGUAAAUAUUCUCAGAUGCAAACUCACAGUACCAGCUUCACAGAACACCUGCAGGUGCAAGUAACUAAAAAUCCAGCUCAAUUUUACUUUAAAUACAAGGGAAUUUAUUGACUCAGGUGGGUAGUUCAGAAGGAGGCCAGGCUUCAGUGUGAAUCUGAGCACAGAAGCUCAUGGAUGCUACCAGGACUCAGUCUCUUCCCAAUUUUCUGCUCUGCCUUCAGUGAAGUCAGAAUAAUUCUGCAUGUGGCAAAAUCUCCAGGAACAAUUUCUGAGGUUGCAUUCUUCACCAAAGAGGGAGCAUGAACAAGCACACCCUUGUUCCUAACAACCUAGCGCAACUUGUAUUUGACUCUAAUUGGAACAACUCAGACCCCGCCCAUCCCAAAGUCCAUUAGGGGGACCAAGGGAGUGCUGUGUGGCACCCGGCAUGAACCUCAGUUAUGCACUCACUUUGGAACCAGUAACUGUGACACAGGGUGAGACAGUGCUGGUUAAGUCAACCGGGACCCACCCCAUGUUUCAAACCACGUGACUGAAAAAUUCAGGGCUCUGUUAGGAAGGAGAAAGGGGGAUGCUUCUUAAAUAGCACCCACCAGUCAACUACAAUUUAAUUUGACAGGAACCCGGAGGCCCUGCCAUAGAAAUCUCUCACAGUUGCUUGGAAUGAGAGCACUCAAUACAAAAAUCCUAUGGUAGCAACCCUAUGGCCUCAAGGGCGCCACGCAGUUGGUGUGGAGGGUGGGGCAAGGAGGGUGGGGAAGGGCUCAGGGUCUUCUGAAGAUGAAGCCAAAGAACAGAUGGCACUGACUUAGCAGAGUGGAAAAUGUUUAACCCCAAGAGAUUCCUACAGAGGCAGCUAAGCCACACCACAGACUCCUAGAAGGGCUUGUGUUAGGGUUCCCAAGUGUCUAGGUAAGCUGAGGAGAUGGUGAGGCAGACACAGAGGGUCGGUUCAAAGCACAUUGGGAAGACUGAUCCCAAGACCCCUCAGUCCACACUGGCAGUCAAAUGCUCCUCCCUGACAUCAGAAAAAGAAACAAUUUAUUUUCUUCAGAUACUGAAACAGAACUUUUCUAAGCUCCAGGACACUGGAUAAUGCUGCUUAUGCAAAGACAGUAUUUAGUGAAAGCCAAUUUACUGAGCAGGGAGAUCAGCGGAUUCUUUCUCCCUCUUGGCUCCCAGAAUGCUGGGAUCAGCUUGUAGUCUUAGGAGAUUGGCGACCUCUUUUUGGAGAGGAUCUGCAGAUACCAACAUUUUCAGGGUUUCCUCAGGUCCAGGAGUGCCAGGCUCCUGUGGACUCUUCCUUUGGGGAAGCAAAA